AUUGAACGCUGGCGGCAUGCCUUACACAUGCAAGUCGAACGGUAACGCGGGGCAACCUGGCGACGAGUGGCGAACGGGUGAGUAAUGUAUCGGAACGUGCCCAGUUGUGGGGGAUAACUGCUCGAAAGAGCAGCUAAUACCGCAUACGACCUGAGGGUGAAAGCGGGGGAUCGCAAGACCUCGCGCAAUUGGAGCGGCCGAUAUCAGAUUAGGUAGUUGGUGAGGUAAAGGCUCACCAAGCCGACGAUCUGUAGCUGGUCUGAGAGGACGACCAGCCACACUGGGACUGAGACACGGCCCAGACUCCUACGGGAGUCAGCAGUGGGGAAUUUUGGACAAUGGACGCAAGUCUGAUCCAGCCAUGCCGCGUGCGGGAAGAAGGCCUUCGGGUUGUAAACCGCUUUUGUCAGGGAAGAAACGCUCUGGGUUAAUACCUCGGGGUAAUGACGGUACCUGAAGAAUAAGCACCGGCUAACUACGUGCCAGCCGCCGCGGUAACAC
rnacentral:rRNA from 1 species